rnacentral:rRNA from 1 species
UAGGGAAUCUUCCGCAAUGGACGCAAGUCUGACGGAGCAACGCCGCGUGAGUGAAGAAGGAUUUCGGUUCGUAAAACUCUGUUGUUAGAGAAGAACAGCGCAUAGAGUAACUGUUAUGCGUGUGACGGUAUCUAACCAGAAAGCCACGGCUAACUACGUGCCAGCAGCCGCGGUAAUACGUAGGUGGCAAGCGUUGUCCGGAUUUAUUGGGCGUAAAGCGAGCGCAGGCGGUCAAUUAAGUCUGAUGUGAAAGCCCCCGGCUCAACCGGGGAGGGUCAUUGGAAACUGGUUGACUUGAGUGCAGAAGAGGAGAGUGGAAUUCCAUGUGUAGCGGUGAAAUGCGUAGUUAUAUGGAGGAACACCAGUGGCGAAGGCGACUCUCUGGUCUGUAACUGACGCAGAGGCUCGAAAGCGUGGGUAGCAAACAGG